AUUAAAUAAUAAAAUAUAGGUUUAAUUAAAAUUGAUUAAUUAAAAGGGAAUCAGGUUAAAAUCCUGAACUAUCUCGUAGCUGUAAUAGAUGAAUUUAAGUACAAUAUGCCACUCGGAAACGGGGAAGGCGUACUUAAAUAAUGAUUCUUGAGUCAGAAUAUCUGCCUAUGUUUUGCACCAUAAA
rnacentral:ncRNA from 17 species